UACGGAGGGUGCAAGCGUUAUCCGGAUUCACUGGGUUUAAAGGGUGCGUAGGCGGAUUGGUAAGUCAGUGGUGAAAGCUCCCCGCUCAACGGGGAAAUUGCCAUUGAUACUAUCAAUCUUGAGUCUAGUUGAGGUAGGCGGAAUGUGGCAUGUAGCGGUGAAAUGCUUAGAUAUGCCACAGAACACCGAUUGCGAAGGCAGCUUACUAAACUGGUACUGACGCUGAGGCACGAAAGCGUGGGUAGCAAACAGG
rnacentral:misc_RNA from 1 species